AGAGAGAGACAUGCGCGCAUAUCAAUAAGCGGAGGAAAAGAAACUAACAAGGAUUCCCUUAGUAACGGCGAGUGAAGCGGGAAGAGCUCAAAUUUGAAAUCUUCAAGGUUCUACCUUGACGAAUUGUAGUUUAUAGAAGUGUUUUCUGUUAGUAGAGUGGCAAAAGUUCUUUGGAAUAGGACAUCAUAGAGGGUGAGAAUCCCGUAUUUGGUCAUUCCUCCUAGCGUUGUGAUACACUUUCAACGAGUCGGAUUGUUUGGGAAUGCAGUCCAAAAUGGGUGGUAAAUUUCAUCUAAAGCUAAAUAUUGGCGAGACCGAUAGCGAACAAGUACCGUGAGGGAAGAUGAAAAGAACUUUGAAAAGAGAGUUAAACAGUACGUGAAAUUGUCAAAAGGGAAGCGUUUGACACCAGUGUUGUUUUUCCGAAAAUCAAUUACGAAUGUUUUGUUUUUGAGGAGUUAUGACUUCAUCGGCUUGCUCCUUUCUUUAUGAAACUUUCUUAAUGCACUUUUCGGUUAACAAGUCAACAUCAAUUUCUUUUGUUGUAAAAGGGUAUGAGGAAAGGUGGCUUUCUUUUCGGAGAAAGUGUUUAUAGCCUUGUGCCUCUGCAAUCGGAGAGAUUGAGGUCUGCAGCGUAGAUCCUUCGGGGUUAGAUACAGUUUGUGCUAAGUUAUAGCUUUUCAUAGACAACUUGUUGACUAUGUUUAGUCUUGUAGCUUACUCGCUGAUGCUAUAUUACCUACGCUUAGGAUGUUGAUAGUCACAGCGUGUAC
rnacentral:rRNA from 1 species